GGCUUAGUGGAUUAGUGGUUAGCACGUUUGCCUCACACCUCCAGGGUCAGGGUUCGAUUCCCACCCUGGCCCU